GCCAUGAACGCUGGCGGCAGGCCUAACACAUGCAAGUCGAGCGGAAACGAGUUAUCUGAACCUUCGGGGAACGAUAACGGCGUCGAGCGGCGGACGGGUGAGUAAUGCCUAGGAAAUUGCCCUGAUGUGGGGGAUAACCAUUGGAAACGAUGGCUAAUACCGCAUAAUGCCUACGGGCCAAAGAGGGGGACCUUCGGGCCUCUCGCGUCAGGAUAUGCCUAGGUGGGAUUAGCUAGUUGGUGAGGUAAGGGCUCACCAAGGCGACGAUCCCUAGCUGGUCUGAGAGGAUGAUCAGCCACACUGGAACUGAGACACGGUCCAGACUCCUACGGGAGGCAGCAGUGGGGAAUAUUGCACAAUGGGCGCAAGCCUGAUGCAGCCAUGCCGCGUGUGUGAAGAAGGCCUUCGGGUUGUAAAGCACUUUCAGUCGUGAGGAAGGUAGUGUAGUUAAUAGCUGCAUUAUUUGACGUUAGCGACAGAAGAAGCACCGGCUAACUCCGUGCCAGCAGCCGCGGUAAUAA
rnacentral:rRNA from 1 species